AGCGAACGCUGGCGGCAGGCCUAACACAAGCAAGUCGAACGAAGUCUUCGGACUUAGUGGCGGACGGGUGAGUAACACGUGGGAACGUGCCUUUAGGUUCGGAAUAACUCAGGGAAACUUGUGCUAAUACCGAAUGUGCCCUUCGGGGGAAAGAUUUAUCGCCUUUAGAGCGGCCCGCGUCUGAUUAGUUAGUUGGUGAGGUAAAGGCUCACCAAGGCGACGAUCAGUAGCUGGUCUGAGAGGAUGAUCAGCCACAUUGGGACUGAGACACGGCCCAAACUCCUACGGGAGGCAGCAGUGGGGAAUCUUGCGCAAUGGGCGAAAGCCUGACGCAGCCAUGCCGCGUGAAUGAUGAAGGUCUUAGGAUUGUAAAAUUCUUUCACCGGGGACGAUAAUGACGGUACCCGGAGAAGAAGCCCCGGCUAACUUCGUGCCAGCAGCCGCCGUAAUAC
rnacentral:rRNA from 1 species